UAGUCCUAUCAACUGAGAUAC
ensembl:piRNA 21ur-262 ncRNA